rnacentral:rRNA from 1 species
UGCUACCAUGCAAGUCGAGCGAUGAAGCCCAGCUUGCUGGGUGGAUUAGUGGCGAACGGGUGAGUAACACGUGAGUAACCUGCCCUUGACUCUGGGAUAAACCUGGGAAACUGGGUCUAAUACCGGAUAGGAAUGUCCAUCGCAUGGUGGGUGUUGGAAAGAAUUUCGGUCAUGGAUGGACUCGCGGCCUAUCACCUUGUUGGUGAGGUAAUGGCUCACCAAGGCGACUACGGGUAGCCGGCCUGAGAGGGUGACCGGCCACGCUGGGACUGAGACACGGCCCAGACUCCUACGGGAGGCACCAGUGGGGAAUAUUGCACAAUGGGCGAAAGCCUGAUGCAACGACCCCACGUGAGGGAUGACGGCCUUCGGGUUGUAAACCUCUUUCAUUAGGGAAGAAUCGAAAGUGACAGUACCUGCAAAAUAAGCACCGGCUAACUACGUGCCAGCAGCCGCGGUAAUACGUAGGGUGCGAGCGUUAUCCGGAAUUAUUGGGCGUAAAGAGCUCGUAGGCGGUUUGUCUCGUCUGUCGUGAAAGUCCGGGGCUUAACCCCGGAUCUGCGGUGGGUACGGGCAGACUACAGUGCAGUAGGGGAGACUGGAAUUCCUGG